AAAUUUUCACAAAGUCGAUAGUAUUUGUGUUUGGAAUCUCAUCCUGCCCAAAGAUUUCUUUGAUGUUCCGUUCGGCAAAUAAGGGAGUUCCAAUUACACCUAUGCCCGGCUGUAAGCCAUCAACAUCAACACAAACAAAUGGUUGACAAUCAAAAGCUAUCAAAUGUUUAUUGGAAACUAACGAACAUGCAUACACCGAUAUACCCGCCCAGGAACAGCUAAGCCCUGGCAACUUAGGACACCAACUGCGCUGUGCUAAUCACUCAUGCAUGAUGGAUAUACUGCUCGUAUGCAUAGCCAACUGCGAGCAUGAGGCUACCAAGCAAACCUACAGCUAC